AUAAUAUAGGGAUUCAUUGAGAUUCAAAAAUGGGAUGGAGCAAUCCUUAUUUCGGACGUAGGAUGAACUGAAAAAGUUCUGCAUCAUUAACUAUGUAAGAUGCACAUCAGCAUCAAUUAGAUAUCUGGUUAAGAAAAAGAAAAAGUACGAUUAAAUACAAAGAAAUGGACCAGAUUUUUGAAUAAUGUAUCUCAGAUCAAUUUUGACUAUUCUCACCUAUGAACUCCCCUAGAUUCCACUUUUUGGUCUUUCAACCAUCUAAUUUAACCAUUUGAAUAUUGUUUCAAUUGAAAUAUUAACAUUCGUUAUUGCAGCGCACAAAAAAUAGAAACAAACUUGAAUCAUUCAUUUUCAGACUUCCUUUUGAUACCUAGAAUAUACAUCUAUUUGAAUAAUGUAUCUCAGAUCAAUUUUGACUAUUCUCACCUAUGAACUCCCCUAGAUUCCACUUUUUGGUCUUUCAACCAACUAAUUUAACCAUUUGAAUAUUGUUUCAAUUGAAAUAUUAACAUUCAUUAUUGCAGCGCACAAAAAAUAGAAACAAACUUGAAUCAUUCAUUUUCAGACUUCCUUUUGAUACCUAGAAUAUACAUCUAUUCAUUCUUCAUCUAGAAAGAGCAUAUCUCCGUACACCUACAUAAAUUAUAUAGGAUGAUUAAGACCACUAAUAAAUAUCUAUCUAUUCCCCCAAUUUUUGAAAAGAAAUAUGGGAAUAGAUACUCAUACAUAAUGAGUCGCCGGGAACCAGAUUUGAACUGGUGACACGAGGAUUUUCGGUCCUCUGCUCUACCAGCUGAGCUAUCCCGACCAUUCUUGACGCACCAUCCUAAUUUUAAGAAAUUACUUGAGUCUAUGUCAACUAAAUCAAAAAAGGGCCAUCAAAAUGAGGGAAUUUAAUUGGCUAUUCAUUCUUCAUCUAGAAAGAGCAUAUCUCCGUACACCUACAUAAAUUAUGUAGGAUGAUUAAGACCACUAAUAAAUAUCUAUCUAUUCCCCCAAUUUUUGAAAAGAAAU
rnacentral:lncRNA from 1 species